GUUACUGUGUAGUCUGGUCUUUUUGCACCUCGAUCGUGCUCCUCUCCAAAACAGAAAAAAGUCGUCUGCAGUCGACGACCCACAACGGAGAUGUUUAUAUUUAACCUCUGGGAAAAAUCUGAUCGUAUCUUUGAGAUCUGUGAGCUAACGCUAGCCAUAGCCAGUUGCAUGCAUACAUGUAUUGCAUAUCUGCGCAGAGGACACAUUUUACAAAGUUGUGGUGCUGGCUGUGUAGGGCCAAUUUGGAGCUGAAUCUAGUGGGCGGGGCAGCAUCACUUGCGCAGGUGCAGAUAUAGUUCGUUUAAGCGUACAGCCUGUAUCAAGUACUCCGGAGUAUCGAAAACUGUAAUUUAAAGAAAACUUGAACUUUAAUAUGUAUAUAAAAUCUUAAUCUUACAUUUUUCGCUGUCUCGACGGUUAAGGUUAGGAGUAGGUUAACUCCCGACUCUUGAGCAAGAUUUUAUCAUCAUCAAGAGUGGUCUCAAGUGCAGAGACCAGUUGUUGUCCAGGCCUGACGUCAGAGAGGACAGAAGAUCUCCGGAAGGAUGAUGGACUGUGUGACAUUUCCGUGU